GAGCCAGGCAGAGGGGAUGAGGACAAACAGAUGAGGAACGGAGGCCUAAGGAGCAGGGCAGAGGAUGAGGACAAUCAGAUGGGAACGGAGGCCUAAGGAGCAGGGUAAGAGGAUGAGGACAACCAGGCACAGUGAGAGAUCUAAAACAUCAUUGAGGGAACAACAACCUCCCCAAACACCAGUCCAUUGAUCUAGACAGGAUGUCAGACUGGAGAAGAAGAAUCAGAAUGAGAAUCUGCCACACCGACCAAACCCUUCUAUCAGGAAUUAGCACGUAGAGUAAUGCAUGCUGUUAUCAAACAGGAUUUCACUGUGUGAACUCUUAUUAAACAUGUUUGUUACACCUUGCUGUGGGAUGUCUGUUGGCAAGUGUAUAUGUCAUUCUGUAUAAAAACUUGAAGCUGUAA